CAAAGAGCCCAGCCAGCAGCGAGUAAAAAGAUGGGGUUUCUCUUUCGAUGAGAUAUUGAAGGACCAGACUGGGCGCGACCAGUUCCUACGAUUCCUGGAGUCCGAAUUCAGUUCAGAAAACCUCAGGUUCUGGCUGGCUGUCCAAGAUCUCAAGAAACAACCCCUACAGGAUGUGGCCAAGAGGGUGGAGGAAAUCUGGCAAGAGUUCCUGGCUCCAGGGGCCCCAAGUGCAAUCAACCUGGAUUCUCACAGCUAUGAGAUAACCAGUCAAAAUGUCAAAGAUGGAGGGAGAUACACAUUUGAAGAUGCCCAGGAGCACAUCUACAAGCUGAUGAAAAGUGACAGCUAUGCCCGCUUCCUCCGGUCAAACGCUUACCAGGACUUGCUGCUGGCCAAGAAGAAGCCAGAAAGUGAGCAAGGUCGUAGAACUUCCCUAGAAAAGUUCACUCGCAGUGUGUGCUGCUGGCGCAGAGUCAGAAUGGCCGCUGCAUUUCACCCCCGAGGUGGCUUCCUUCCAGCAGUGGGGAAAGUCGCUGGCGGGCAAGCGCCUCACCGGCCUGAUGCAGUCCUCCUGACCGUCCCGGCUGCGGGGCCGGGGCCCGGGCCCGCGGACCACACCGGCGGGCGGCGGCGCUCCACAUCCACGGACAGAGUGUCCUUACGGGGAGAUCUGGUCACUGUGAAGGAGAAAGAGUGAGGGCAAUGCCGGGCAGUGGUGGGGAGACUUGGUGGGUCGAUGGGGAGGCCAGAAAGAGGGAGCCCACAGAGCCUGGGCAGCCCGGGAGUGGCUCCUGUUUACAACCUGCUCUUCCCUGCCCAGUUGUGCUCCAGCGCUCUGUCCCCUAAGAGGCCCUGGCUUCCUGCUCCUUCCAGGGAGAGCACCUCAUGGGGUCCUGUUGCAACUAUCACUCGAGAUUAUAGUCGUACUAUCCUCACUCCUCCCACUGUCUGGAGGUCACACCUUCCCGCAGACUCAAGAGGGACGAUGGACCCGGCACAUCCAGUGUGAUGCGUCACCUCCCCGCCCUCGCGGUCGCCCACAGCACCUACCCUAGCUACAGCCACCGUGUCCACCCGCCGCCUGCCUCCCCACCUCUCUGUGGCCACCUGGGUAUAACAGGCCAGCACUGGGCACUGCUGUCACGUAAAAUGUCCACUUCACGUCUUCAGCACCAAAGCAGCCUCGCGGAUCGCGUUGCCUCCAGUCCUCUCGACACCCUUUGAGAAGAGGUCUCCACCGCGUGGUGGCUGCCCUCCAGUCCCAUCAGAGGGAGGUGUCAGGGGCCCAGCACUAGAGGAAGCACCAGAGUGGAUGAAGGAGCUUGUUGUUUGGCAGCCUGGAGGUUGCGAUGACCAUCUUUUAAAAAAUUUUUUCAUAACUUAUUCUGUUUUUGCCCCCUCGCUCCUUAUUUUAUUCAAAAUAAACAUGGCCACAAACUCAGGGGCCAUUGGGAUUCUCCCCUCGGCAGCUCCACGUGGAAGCUGGGAAGGCCCCCAGCCCGGGGUGGCUGGAUGGCAGGGCUGGCAGCCCCCACGGUGACGUCCUGACAGGCAUGGCCAGACCUUCCUGGGUCAGGACUCAGUUGGGUCUGAAGCCAGAGCCAUGGAGUUCUCUUCCCAGUCUUGACCUGAAGGCCCAGCAAAAGCAAAACCUGCAAAAACUUGCAGAAGAUCCGCUUUCAUUCCCUUUGUGUGUGUGUGUGUGUGUGUGUGUGUGUGUCAAAAUGACUAUUUGCCAACUUGGCUGGGAGGUAAUGUACGUAAAGCACCGAGUCAGGGGCCUGACGCCUAGUAGGUGCUUAGCAAAUGGUAGCUAAUACCAUUGUGCUUGUCAUUGUUAUUUUUGUGAUGCCCACAAGCCCUCGGACAGAGCUGCAUUAAGUGACCUGUUUUUGAAUUCAGACACUCACUCCCCCACCUGCUAUGACUAUCCUCCUUUGAUCUAUUUUUGGCCAUAGGUGAAAAGUCUCCCUUGGGAGUGUAUAAACAGAAAACACGGAAGCAAAAAAGCAAUCACUGGUAUUUCUUUACUCGUGUAGGCAAAUUCACCAGCUGGUGACCAAAGGCUCCUAUGCUUGUUAGCAGUCCUGGCCUCUUGGGAACUCCCCCAUGAACCAUCUUUAAAGCCCCCACCUGUGAGUUCUGCCUAGGUCUGUCUCUACACAGCCCUGUCCUCAGGACACCACCUUCCAUCCCUCAUGGCAGCCACCAUGGGCAUUAGGAGUCUUCACUAUGGUUGCAUCCUUGCUCUUGACCACCACGCCUCACUUUCCCCCACUGGCAGCAGUUUCUCUCUCUUCAAGAUACAGCAGAAAUUAGAGAGAUGACACAUGUUGAGUCCUCAGAGUGUGUCCAGGGGUGGCCCUUUAGACCCAGAUUCUUGUUGACACUCCCACGCACUCAGCACAGAGCCUGGCACUUCACAGACACUUGGUGACCACUUGAUAAGAAAUUGAAUGAAAUGAGCCCUAUCCCAAGUUGUGGGGUCUCUUGACUCCCCUUCUCCUCAUUCCACAUCUUUUUAUUCCCUUCCCCUUCAUACAAACCUCUUGUUCCAGGGGGGUAAAAGUUCAGUCUAAGUUCAUCUGUACCCAGCAUCACCAUUUCCUACCAAGGGUCCCAGGCUGUGCUGACACCAAGGCGUAGGGUAUGUGGACAAAGGGUGUCUCCAAGCAGCAUGCAUCUCUGUGCCCUCAGUUUUCCAGGACAAGGGGCCUGGCUGCCUCCUGCUCUUCCCCAUGGGCUGCAGGGGGCAUUCUAGAGAGGCAAGGCUUCCCUGGCCAUGACUUCUGUGUCCCCUUCUUUCUCCAACCCAUGGUCACUGGGCUAUGCUGGUCUGAGACUUGGCCUCACCCUGGAGGUCCCCAGAAGGCUCCCCCAGAGCCAGGUGAACUGUGGCCCUGAGAUGGAGCAGUCUGAAGGCUUCUCAACAUGUCUGGGGACAUCCAGAAGGGAGAGCAGGGUCAGCAGGCUUAAUAGAGGUAAGAACGCUUCAGAUGGAUUCAAAACCAGAGCAAUAUUCCCUCAUCCCCACCCCCCAACUAGGGCACACUCUGUCCAGUGACCACCACUAUGUGCUCACCAGUAGAUCAAGCAAGAGUCCUGCAAGAAGGCAGUGGAAUAAGGUUGCUCUGCUCUGGUUGGCCAGGCCAAGGUCAGUCUACCAUGCAGACCUUGGUAUGCAAGUACAUUUGGAAAAUCUGGUCUUGGCCAGAUUGCCGUUGGCCUGGAUUACGCAGCCAAAAAUUCGGACUCAGUUAGACCUUUAAAGGCAGUUCUAUAGCAAAGCAGAUUCCUCUGCCUCAUCCUGCUCCCUAGAAGCUGCCUUAGCUCCCCUGACUGGGUGUGUUCUCUAGGCCUGGACUCUUCCCUAUGAGGGCUCACAGAACAAAUGUCAUAUUGGAAGCCCCACAGCCAAAGCAUCAGGGCAGCCGUAGCAAGUGACCACCCACCCAUCAGGUAAGAAACACAAGGCACCAGGUAUUGGGCAUUUGACUCAAAUAACCUUUCCCUUUAUGGGCAGAGUAAAUCUUGUAGGUUGGCACAAAUGCCCAUCAGCAGCCAGAUGGCCUGACCCAAGCAGCAGGAACUCUCUGGGCUCGGAAGAAGGCUCCUGCCCUUCCAGAAAGUGAUGCAUCAGCUUUGUCCUCCUGGGAAGAGGUUGCUAUCCCAGGAACAAAGCAAGGCCCAGCUGCCAGUGAAGUCGGUUUGGCCUGGGAGCUUCACCACUGCUGAGUGGUCAGGUACCAGGCCAGCGUCCCAGGAGAGAUCUCUUGCAACUGAACACACGGGGACGUGUUCCAGGGGCCUUUUCCCUGGCAGGAUUUCUGGUGCGUUCAAACUACCUCACCAACAGAACACUGAACCAGGAGCCUGCCACCCGUCUGACCCCCUCACUUGCUGUGGAAGUUGAUGUUAUUCCUAAAAUACACCCUUCCUGUUCUGCUCCAAAUGCAUGGGCUUCAAAAGCUACAACCAGGAAACCUUCCCAGAAGGUGCAAAGGGCUGAGGGCUGUUGGUCUUUGGGCCUUGCAGACUGUAUUGGAGAGAGAUGUUCCAGCAAGGUCCAGGCGCUGGGAAGCCCUGGGCUGGGGCGAGAGAUCAUGUGCCACCAGCCUCUAAAAGGAGCUGGCUAAGUUGACUAUGUAGCAAGGACGAUGGACUAAGUCAAAUAGUGGCCAAAUGAAUCACUAAUAACUCAUCACAGGACCCUCUGAAGAGAGGCCUGUGCUCAUGUAACCAUGGCAACCGCAGAUGCCAGCAACCUACUCAUUAGUACCACCCAGUGAUAAGGCAUCCCCUGGGCAAGAUCCAGGGGCCAUAACGUAGCAAAGUAGCAAAUGUAGCAAUAAGAGGCUUAAGGCUGUAAGGGGACAGGGUCUAAAUGAGCUGGCCUCGGCCCUCUCCCCAGCCCCAUGAGGGUUCAGGGCCAGCUGCUGCCAGCUGUCGGGAGAGGAGGCCCUGCCUCGCACCGAGGGCUCCUGUUCUAUAUUCUAAGCCCACUCACAGCAUGAUCACAGACACGUCGGAAUGGCCUCCUCAUAGUGCAUGUGGUUCUCAUCAGUUUAUUUUUCUGGAAUUUGGUGAUUGGACCCAAGAACCAAACAUGCUGGUACAGUCUAAAAAUAAAUGAAUUGAACCCACUACAA